GAUGAACGCUAGCGGAAGGCUUAAUGCAUGCAAGUCGAGCGGUAGGUGGCUUCGGCCAUUGAGAGCGGCGCACGGGUGAGUAACGCGUACAUGACCUGCCUGUCAGAAGGGGAUAGCCCUGGGAAACUGGGAUUAAUACCCUAUGGUAUUGAUAUUAUGAAUGAUAUCAAUUAAAGUUGAGGCGCUGACAGAUGGAUGUGCGUCUGAUUAGCUAGUUGGUAGGGUAACGGCCUACCAAGGCGACGAUCAGUAGGGGGCGUGAGAGCGUGGUCCCCCACACGGGUACUAAGACACGGACCCGACUCCGACGGGAGGCAGCAGUAAGGAAUAUUGGUCAAUGCCCGCAAGGGUGAACCAGCCAUUCCGCGUGGAGGAUGAAGGCCCUAUGGGUUGUAAACUUCUUUUAGAUGGGAAGAAAAUGCUAGAUGUAUCUGGUACUGACGGUACCAUCAGAAUAAGCACCGGCUAACUCCGUGCCAGCCGCCGCAGUAAUAC
rnacentral:rRNA from 1 species